AACAAAUGGUACUGCUGUAUGAUGCAGUACAGCCAGAAUUGUCUUCAGGACACGCUGAAACAACAAGGAUGCGAUUCCGAAGACUUUUUGCAGGGGUUCACUCGGAAAGUUGAGACUCAAUGUGGAACGUCCAAGUCGUUCUGCUCUGCUCAGUGUAAUAACAACACGUUAUCCCAUGCCCAGUUUGCGUGCAGCGAGAGAUAUAUGCAGAUCCAUGUGCUGAAUCCUGAA